CGCUCUUCGAGAUGUGCGGCUCCAUAGAACAGGUUCUCCCCAUCUUCGGCAACAAAAGGACUUUCAAAGGCCACUGCUACAUUCAGUUUGAAUCUCCUUCAUCAGUCACCGAAGCCCUGAAGCUGGACAGACAAGAGUUGAGAAGGCCCAUGUUUGUGUUGCCUUGUGUGGAUAAAAACUAAAAUCCCAACUUUAAGGUAAACAAAGUCUGUUUCUGUCAAGUCCUUAGUACCCACAGGAAUUUUUUUUUUUUUAAUUUUGUCCUUGCAGGUGUUCAAAUACAACACAUCGAUGGAGAAACACAAAAUCUUUAUCUCUGGUCUGCCGUUCUCUUGCACUAAAGAGCAACUGGAGGAAAUCUGCAAAAAACACUGAGGUGUCAGAGAAGUGCGUUGAGUCACAUAUCGCUCAGGGAAACCGAAGGGUCUAGCAUAUGUUGAGUUUGCUGAUGAUACUCAAGCUUCUCAGGCAGUUUUGAAAAUGGACGGCACAGAAGUAGAAGGAAACAUGAUCUCAGUGGCUAUAAGUAAUCCUCCACGCAGGAACAUGAUGGAAGCUCCUGGAUCCGGCAAACCUAUGGGCAACAUGAUGCUUCGCCAGGUCUACAGAGCGAGAGCAAAAGGUCAAACCCAGGAGUCACUGCUCCCUCGGUCCCUCCACAGACAGAGUGGAUCCGUAAAAAAGGUGGAGAAUGGAGGCUCGACUGAAUCCAGCAGCUUGUUGCUGAACGCAGCCACAGAGACUAAAUCUUUGUCCAAUUCAGACUUUGCCAGGAUGGUUCUAAACAAGUAAGAGAAUCAUGACUGCCUUCACACUGAUCGCAAUCUUGUGUCCUUACAUAUCAGUGUUGGUGAGUUUUUUUUCUUUCUUUCCUCUAACUGUUUACUCCAAACAGACUGCCUUAAUCAUUAAGCUCCUUUGUUACAAACCCUUUUCAACCAAGAAUUAUCAGCUGUGUGACAGUGUUUAGGGCAGGACAUUUUAUUGAAAGUGUAUUAUAGCUGUGUGUAAAUACACUAUCUAUUGUAAACCUCCUGUUUUAAAGUGUCUUGUUGUGUUACGUGACGAGGGUUUGAUAGAAAACUCUAAGUAUAUUUUUAAAAAUUGAAACAGCCUGAAUUUGAGUGUUGAGGUUAUGACAAAGAUUAUGACAUGUACAUUUGUUGUGUAGGUGAUGUGUGUUGGUGUGUUUGCCUAUACGUGUGUGUUAAGGAAAAGAAGGAAAAGGAAAGUGAACUACUUGUUGUUUAUAUCACAGUGAAGAUAUCCUCCAGAUCUUUUCCAGUUAUUUUUAGGGAACAUACUUUUGUUGGAGAUGAACGUGUACUACUAUUAUUUUUUUCCAUCAAAUGCCAACAUUAUUUUGAUGCCCCUGGGGGGUCCAGUUAAUAUGAGGAAACAUUGUCAUGAAAACUACCAUCCCAUCAUAUUGCACCGUUGAAUGUACCUGUUGGUUAAGGAUUAAAUCAUUGUCAAAUAGAACUUCACUGUAAGAAUCCAGAAGGUUAAAGGUCACUGAUGGACUAAUAUUUUUGUCUAAAAUAAUCGAGUGUGUGCUAAAGCUGUGUUAAUUAAUAGAUGCAUAUAGGUCAUUCUUAUGAAAUCCUGGUUUCAUAGAUUGGAGACAUGGAUUUUUUUGGAAAAAAAUAGAUCAACAAAUUUUCUUUGUAUCCAUUAAUCACAAAGUCUGCAGUGGUUAUGAUUGGUGUUUUUAAAAUAUUCACUCAAUUUAAUACCUUUUUGAACAUUUUUCAAACAUGUCCUUAAUAAAAAAAUAAAAAGUUUGUGCCCUAAAACAUGCUGCCAACUGAAUAAUCUGUGCUAAAAACU